GCAGUGGUGGUUCAGUGGUAGAAUUCUCACCUUCCAUGCAGGAGACCUGGGUCAGAUUCCCCACCAAUGCA
rnacentral:tRNA from 1 species